ACACAUUAUCUUUAAGGUGAUACACCAACCGUAAUUUUUCUCAGCUAACCCAUGUUCAUUCACUCACUCAACAGAUACAAGGAGUGACCAUGCAAUAAAGGAUCACGUACGCAGUAAGGACUCAGAAUCUGGGAAGAAGGACUCCUAGAAGGACUCCUAGAACAGAGGGCAUUUCAAUACUCCAGCUUUGCCAACUGCAGGCUCUCGGCUCAACAACAACCAUGGCUAGGAGUUAGAUUAACAGUUGCCUGUGAAAACGAAACCUAAUGAUAGGCUAAAAGCUGGACUAGAAAGGGUGCCUCGCCUGUGUGCAAGGAAGAUCUGAUGAUGGCCUCAGAGGCCUGGCUCAGCUCAGGAAGUAAGUUUUGGUCUGUUUUCACUUUAGCUGGGACAAUGUUAAUGCUGGAUAUAAUAUGACCUCAGGCAUUAGAACACAACAAAGCCUCAAAAACCAACUCAAACUCUGAGAUUCCAAAGAUUCAACAAAUUUCUCCCCCGAGGACUGGAGCCCCCAGAGCACCACCUGGAAGAAAGAGGCUGUACAUCGCCACCAGGGAACCAUGCAAUGGUGGGCGGCGCUACAGCAACCGGCAAACAACCUGUGCGGCUAUGGAUAACCAUUAUUUGAGUUUUUAUUGUUAUUUUUAAAGAUAACAGUCUUUGUUGUUGUUGUUUUCAAUCCUUUUGAGCCAGGGUUUCAUUAUGUGACCCUGCCUGCUCUUGCCUCUGGAAUGCCGGCAUUAAAGGCGUGCGCCAGCAUCCCAGCCCAAUCAUGCUGUUUUAAACUGAUCUACAGCCGCUUUCUGAGUGCCACUUGCCUAACAGGGAACCAUUUCUAUCUAGACUGCUUACUUUGGCAACAGGCAGGCAAUGCUACUUCACACCUUUCCGUGACCUUCACAGGAGGCACACACCCAACUGCAGAAGCCGCCAAGCCACACGGAAAGGCAAGGUACAGGCGCAAACGCCUUCCUUCUUUACCCUACAGGAAACCACGGCUUGGUCCGAGCGGGGGAAUUCAGAGUUCAGGGCAUGCCAGCUUGUUAAAUCUCCAGGAACAGUCACGUGACCUCAGGCUGUUGGUCUGAGACCGCCUCUGAUGGCUGUGUCACUCUUUAGGUGACCACAACAAAUGGCUGCAGCAAAGGUCAUGUUGUAAAGCUAGGACAUCUCUGGGUCACACUGAUUUGUCUCUGUAAUGUGCGUGAUCAAACACAGGCCUUGCGUAUGCUAGUUACAGACACUACCACGGAGCUGCGCCCCAGGCUUAUACUGAAAGUGACACUCACGUGGGGUGGACGGCAAGCUUCCCUAGUGGGGAUGCUUAGUGAGUUCUUAGAACUCCGUCCGUACGCUAUCAAAGCCAGGAGGCACCAGAUGCAAUACUGUAAUGUGGUGGAGACUGAACAGUGGUCUAAGAAGGCCGCCACAAACCGCCUGAAUUCUUUUCAAAGUGGCCUCAUAAAUCAGGGUUGACAGAUGACAAAAUAACACAGAAGCACAACAAGCAGGAAAGCGAGGGUCCCCUCUCUUCAUACUCCACAGAUUUAAGAGAGAAAUUCUUCAAAGUCCCCUCGGACAGUGCUUUUGAAACAGACAUUUCAUUGUCAUUAACCAGUUACCCUGGGGGGUUAGCGAACAUCAGAAUCAUCCCCAACCACAGCCCCAGCCUGUCAAUCAUCUUCCCCAUGCCUGGACCCUGCAGACUUCCUGUCUUCGCAGCCUAGUCCAUUGGGCUUGCAAGGAUCCUUUUCAGUGCCUACAGGUGAGAACACACGGCGCCUGUCCUUUGACUUCUCACUUGCUCCAUGUUCAAGUCAGCCUCCUUCUCUUUCUUCCCUCGACCCAGGAUCCCCGUAUGUAGCCGGGGUGGCCUGGCUCACUGUCCCCCACCUUCACCCGCUAAGUGUUGAGACUGCAGGCUUGUGCCAUCACAGCCCACACAGGUUCACAUCUGUCAUGGUUGAGUACUAGUCCAUGGUGGAGAUGUACAAGUUCUUCACCUAUCCAUCAGCUGAAAUCAAUCUAGGGUGAUUCCACAUCUUGGUUAUUGUGGAGAAUGCGGCAAUAACUAUGUGUGUGCAGCUCUCUUUUCAGCAUACUGAUUUUGUUUUCUCUGGAAAAGAGGUCAUACCUAACAGUGUAACUGCUGGGUGAUGUAGCAGUUCCAUUUCUAGCCUUCGAAAGGCCUCGAAUUCUUUCUGUAACGGCUGCACUAACUGAAUUCCGCCAGCAGCUUCUCCCUGCAUCCUCACCUGAGUUUGCUACUGCUCGGUCUUGGAUGGCAUCUCACACCACUACUGACUUGCAUUUCCCUGUUGGUUAUAUCUAGUGGUACUGGGUAUUGUUUUCAUUGGAAAAAUGUAUUGACUGAUUUUUCUAAACCUGAACUGUGAGCAAAACUUCCAGAGCUUUCACUGAGAUACGUGUAACAAACUUCUACAUUAACCAGCCAAUCGUAGAAAGAACAAUAAAUAUUCCAAUGGAAAAGCUUGAAGGCCACUUCAGAAAUGUCUAUCCAUGUCUGGAGAGCACACCCACCAGUUGUAAAAGAACCUUUGACAGGGCGGAGCUGGACUCUGACAGACUUCCACAACUACUGCUCUGUGCAGGUGUGCUUCGUCCUGCUCCCAGAGGCCCGGCAUCAUCUCUGCUCCUGUGCCCCAGACACUGCUGCUGAUGGCCGGUACUGAUGACUGCUGCAUGUCAGCCAGGGCUGCAUGUCACCCUGGGCAACGUCACCUCUGAUGACGUCUGUCAUCUCCAACACCUACAGCUACCCGACCACACCUGCAAGGAGACUGUUCACCAAGUCUCCCCAUGAGGAAUUCACUGACCAUCAUGUGAAAACCCACACCAGAGCCUGGUUCACAGGACCCGGGCUCCAGCUAUGGCUCCCACGUAGGGAUUUUCCACCAGAAAAAGAAACUGAAUUAAGUCUGCUAAAAAAUACAGAAGUCAUUCAACCAGAA